rnacentral:rRNA from 1 species
GAUGAACGCUGGCGGCGUGCCUAAUACAUGCAAGUCGAGCGAACAGACGAGGAGCUUGCUCCUCUGACGUUAGCGGCGGACGGGUGAGUAACACGUGGAUAACCUACCUAUAAGACUGGGAUAACUUCGGGAAACCGGAGCUAAUACCGGAUAAUAUAUUGAACCGCAUGGUUCAAUAGUGAAAGACGGUUUUGCUGUCACUUAUAGAUGGAUCCGCGCCGCAUUAGCUAGUUGGUAACGGCUUACCAAGGCAACGAUGCGUAGCCGACCUGAGAGGGUGAUCGGCCACACUGGAACUGAGACACGGUCCAGACUCCUACGGGAGGCAGCAGUAGGGAAUCUUCCGCAAUGGGCGAAAGCCUGACGGAGCAACGCCGCGUGAGUGAUGAAGGUCUUCGGAUCGUAAAACUCUGUUAUUAGGGAAGAACAAAUGUGUAAGUAACUAUGCACGUCUUGACGGUACCUAAUCAGAAAGCCACGGCUAACUACGUG